rnacentral:lncRNA from 1 species
AGCAACCAAAGGGAACGACUUGAGAGACGAUCCAUAGGGGUUCAAAUAUAGAGGGAAAGGGCCCAUGAAUAAGAGUGCACCCCCUUUUCCAAACGGUUAAGGGUCUUGGGAUAUUUGGGGUUAAGUGUCCUUGGGUUUGAAUAGUACUGGGCUGGGUGACCUCCUGGGAAGUCCAAACUCAGGAGCUUACAUUUGGUAUCAGAGGGGUCUUGGGUCCGACUCUGUUGGUUGGCUUAGGGGAAUCACACCACAUGUUGAUUGACAUCUGGCUGGUCCAGUUUGCUCCCGCUGGGCUCGACCCGAGGGGUAGGGUGUCAAGAGAGCGAGGCUCUCGGGAGAGCUGCGGCUCUCAGCUUCCGUUCACGAGGGCGUGAACUUGCAGGGAAGCGUGGUGGAUUGUAAGCAACCAAAGGGAACGACUUGAGAGACGAUCCAUAGGGGUUCAAAUAUAGAGGGAAAGGGCCCAUGAAUAAGAGUGCACCCCCUUUUCCAAACGGUUAAGGGUCUUGGGAUAUUUGGGGUUAAGUGUCCUUGGGUUUGAAUAGUACUGGGCUGGGUGACCUCCCGGGAAGUCCAAACUCUAUAGUCCUUGGUUCGCCUAGCCGCUGCACCGUUAGUCCGGCUUGCCGGACUAUGUCUGCAGCCACAAAAUUAUCCGAAGCACCCGUGUCAAUAAGGAUCUUAACAAAGCUACCUCCGAGCUUCCCUCGGAGGGCUAGUAGAUGUCGCGAACGACUCUCUACCAAAGUUGCUCGUGUAAUGAGUAACUUUGAGUUAGGGACUGGAUCACAUACCUCAGUUUGGACUUCACCCGACUUGAUGGCCAUAUUGGCUCUGGCCUUCUUCGGGUAGGGACAUUCCCUCGAGAAGUGUCCCACUUCGCCGCAGUUGUAGCAUACGUUGUUGCCCACGCUGCUAUACGACUUGACCUUCUUAUCCGUGGGUUUGUCUUUUUUCGCUUGGCUUCCCCACGUACUCGCUCGCUGGCCACUGGCUUUGCCUUUCCGGAACCCCGAGGACUCAUUCUUAGAGAAACUCUUCUUGAAUUUCCCCUUGCUAUAUGUUCCCCUCGGUUUGGCCCCUUUGUGAAACGUGGAUCCCGACCCCGUCGUGUUCCCCUUUCGCAGGUUAUCGUUGAAAUGCACCUUGAUGGCCGCAUCCAACGCUUCCUUGUAGUUGGUCGGGUUCCAGCGCAUCACCUCACCGCGAGCCCAGGUUUGCAAACCUGAUAUAAAGGCAUGGAACGCAUCCAUAUCCCCCAUGUCCGUGACAAGUAUCCUCUUUGCCAUGAACCCAUUCACAUAUUCCUGGAUGGUUCCAGUCUGCUUCAGCCUACUCAACUCAUCUCUUAGAUGCAAAGUGGCAUUCGGAGGAACGUAUAUCGCGCGGAUCCUCGCCUUCAUCAUGUCCCAGGUGGCCACCGGUCCUUUGUUGGCCUCCGUUGUUCUCCACCAAGACUUGGCAUUAUCUGCCAAGUAUGGUUUUGCACAUGGGACCUUCUCCGAGCUCGGUAACCGCAACGCUCGGAAGUAGUCCUCCAUAUCGUAAAACCAAUCCUCCACAACCUUAUAGUCGUUCACUCCCUUGAACACCGGUGGGGGCUUUGGUUUGUACUUGGGAACUGCCUGAGGGACUGAUUCCACUUCGGUCUGUUCGACCUUGUCUGGUUUUGCCUCAGUCCCUGCCAAAGGGUCCGCACCUUCUGCGCUGCCAGCAUCCGCAGUCUUUCGCUUUUUCUUCCGCUUCUCGUCACGCUUUAACUUGCGUACGAGAGUCUCCAGCAGGGCAUUAGUCUGUGCCAACUGUCCUUCUAGCACGUCCAAUCGAGCCUUGGACGACCGAACCUCGCCACCGGACUCCUGUUUGGAAGUUUCCUCACUGGAGUCCUCCUCAUGCAAGGAUUCCUCAUCCAUAGCCUCUUGUUCAACCGGAGGCUCCAGCUCCGGCGGAGGUUCCGUCUCCGCCUGGGUUCGCUUACGCCCUGCCCUUGCCAUCUCCCAGCAAUCCGCCUCUAUCCUUCGCUAGAACUGAGAUAAAGGCUCCGAACAUCCCUUGGUACCACAAGACUUGUUCAUGGGACCCUCUAAAUCCCAAGUCUUGAGUGCAACACUUGCUUCGGGACGCCGGGGCGAAACACCGUGGCCUAACGGCCCGGUAUGGGUACCUCUCGCCCCCCACUUCCAUCCUGAAGGAAGGCCCAAGCCCCUAGGAAGGGCGAGGACCAAUGAGCCGCAUGGUACUCAAGUGGGGCACCACUCCACAUGAGCCGGGAGCACCGCAAUCGGUUUCCCUUUCGGGAGUGGGAGCUGCUCUUGAGCACUUCCUUGGAUGGCCCCUCCGGCACCAGCCAAGUCCAUGCUCACUCCCACCCAAGGCCCCUUAGUCCCAGUCCCAACCUCAAGUCGGUUUGGAAGCCCAACUGGAGAGUCCCUUCAAAACUGGUUCCUGGACCUCACUAUCCCUACUAUACUUUUGGAACCCCCUGCAGCCCCCCCCCCCUGGGGGACGCACGCUUUGGGCUUUCACCCCUUGACCCGUAUUAGUAUUUGGACUUAGUCUCUGGCUCGAUCUCGGAUCCGAUUUCGGAUCCGACUUCGGAUUCGGUCUCGGACUCGAUCGCGGACUCGAUCUCGGACCCGAUCUCGGGCCCGACCUCGGACUCGACUUCGGACUCGGUCUCGGACCCGAUUUCGGAUCUCGGACUCCGUCUCGAACUCGGUCUCGAACUCGGACUCGAACUCGGUCCCCGAGUCGGUCUUGGACUCGAUUCCGGACUCUAUCUCGAACUCGGUCCUAGAGUCGGUCUUGGACUCGAUCUUUGACUUGGUCCCAUCCGAUGAACUCUUUGUCAUUUUGGUCAUGCUUUCGGGGUUCCCUUAGCCUACGACACCUCGGCGAGUUGGUUCCUUACAACUCCACCACCCCUAGAAGAAGUUCGAUGCCCACAUCGAACGUCUCUUUUUUAUCCUACGACUUGUUGACCAUGUCUCCGGGGGCAUCCCCCCACUUAGCGGUGUGCCUAAGUUAGCCUCCCCGGCCAAGAGCUCAUGACAAUGGAAUAUAGGUGUCCCUAUACUCCUCCCCUCACCACGCCCUAGUAUGGGGUCGGGACUUGAACCCAGCCUUGCUUUACUAGGGGGUUGGGACUCGAACCCAACCUCCGUAGAAUACGUCUACGGUUUCGACAUCCCCGCAAGGAGUCGGGCGUAGCUCCCUACGCCUGGUCAACCUAGCUAACCCAUGCUAAUUAGCUUACCUUCGGCGCGCCAUCGGGUCCCAACAUAUGCCAUUGCUCAACUUCUCAAAUUGAUACUUUUAAUUGAACUUUGCAUAAGUACAUAGAGUUCUGCCAUGCAGAAAUUCCUCCACUAGAUCUCGCGCGUUCGCUAGGUUCUCCUCCGGUUCCCAUGUUGCUUCGCAGUGUGGAAAUCCUUUCCACUUCACAUGGAACUCUCUCACCUCACGUCCUUGUCGCUUGCUCUUGCGCGCAUUGAGGAUGGCCUCGACUUCGUAUUCCUCCUCCCCUUGGAUAACCUCAGGUAAAGGUCUUACUUGGUCCUUGCGAAGCGGGUCCUCAAAAUACGGCUUGAGUAAGUUUACGUGGAACACGGGAUGCAUCUUCCCCAUCUCUCGAGGAAGUCGGAGACGGUAAGCCACUUUACCGAUUCGAGCCUCAAUCUCGUAAGGCCCCGCGAACCUGCUUAAGGAACUCAAGAUCAAUUCAUUUGCAGGAAUACAUGCAUUUUUACCUUUGGGUCAACUUCCGGCUGAUCCCACUUGGUAGCCUGAGGUUCUUGGUGUUCAGCCACACCUUCUCCCUAGCUUGGAACUCCACAUCUCGACGCUUUUGGUUCGCGUACUUAGUUUGCCUUUGUUGAGCCCGUUCCAAGGAAUCCUUCACUAUAUUCCAAAUGUUGAGUCUUUCCGCCGUGAAUGCCUCCACUGCGGGUAACUCUCCAUGAUACUCGGCCACGCCGAGUUCCACAGGACCUUCAAUAGCUCGCCCAUUGAUGACUUCCCAUGGACUCACCCCGAUGCUCGAAUGUGGUGAGUUGUUAUAACACAUUUCCGCAAGUCCCAAAUGACUUACCCAGUCGGUCUGGUCUCCCGAGACAUAGCAUCGCAAAUAAUCCUCCAGCUGCCUAUUCACCCUUUCCGUUUGUCCAUCUGUCAAGAAGUGUUAAUGCCAUCAAUCUUGACUCAAUACUCAUUACCUGUCUGUGGGUGAUAGGCCGUGUUGAAUUUCAACUUGGUGCGAUACUGUUCUAGGAGUGUCCUCCAGAACCUACUGGUGAAGAUCUUAUCUCGAUCAGAGAUAAUCUCUUCCGGCCUUCCCCGCACUCGAACCACUUGUUCGAAGAAUAGCUUCGCCACACCUUCCGCAUCCACAUCCGUUGUGGUGGGUAUGAAAUGUGCCAUCUUUGAAAAUCGGUCCACCACCACGAAUAUCGCAUCGAACCCCUCGCUUGGGGGUAGUCCCGUGAUGAAGUCCAUCGUGAGACAUUUCCACGGACGAUCUGGAAUGGGGAUGCUUUGCAACAAGCCCCCACUAGCCUUCGUCACGGCUUUGACCUGCUGACAUGUUGGACAUGUCUUUACAUAGUCUUGGACGUCCUUAGCCAUAUCUGGCCAGUGAUACUUCCUUUUGAGUAAGCCCAUCGUCUUGGGCACUCCGCCGUGUCCCGCGAGAGGUCCGUCAUGACACUCUUCCAAGGCUACUUUCCUUAGUUCCCCUUCUGGAACAUACACCCUCGUUUGCUUGUAAUAUAUGAGUCCGUUGCGUUCCGCAUAGCCCGUUUUCUCUUCCGUUGGCAGCUCACCUCUCUGGUGAGCUUCCCGCGCCUCCAGAUUCCUCAGCAACACUUCUUGUGCUAGACCAUCACUCUCGUAUGCGGUCCGCACAUCGUCCCAAAAGGUUGCAGUAGCGCUAGAUAUCGCCAACUUCAAGCUCUCUUUUCGACUUAGCGCAUCUGCCACGAUGUUGCUCUUCCCAGGCUUGUACAGGAUCUUGCAAUCAAACUCGGCCAAAGCAUUGGCCCACCGACCUUGUUUUCCCCUUAGGUCGGGCUGUGACAAGAAGUGUUUCGUUGCCACAUUGUCCGUGUAAACCUUGAAGUGUCUCCCAAGGUAGUGUCGCCACUCCUUGAGCGCCUUGACCACCGCAAACAAUUCCUUCUCGUGGGCAGGCCACUUCCGUUGAGCCUUGUCCAGCUUCUUCGAGAAGAACGCUACUGGAUGGUUGUCUUGCUUCAAAACUGCGCCCAACGCAAAGUCCGAAGCAUCCGUGUCUACCUCAAAGUCCUUACCAAAGUCUGGUAAUGCCAACACCGGAGCCUUCCUCAACUUCCCUUUGAGGUGAAUGCCAUCUAAGCCAUAAGUAUACCAUGACCCCAUGGACUCUUGCUUUUUUUUCCUUAGAUUCCUUUGAUUUAUUUUUGUUUUGCUAUGAUAGACUUUCUCACCACUUUUGGUUGCAAUGGACACCUAUAUCAAUAACAAUCAACAAUUUUUAUUUUAUCAUCGUGGACUCCAUGGCAAUCAGUCCAAAGUCAUUGGUGGCAUGUCAUUUUUAACACCCUUGAUCCCCUGGUUGUUCACCAUAAGCCUUGUUACCAAGUGGAUUGCAAUCAUGAAGGCAUGGCAUCUUCACUUCUAGGACCAGAAAAUAAUGCCAUGGCGGAAAGUGAUAGAGCUCGAUAACUAGUUAGUUGACGUUCACGAGGGUGUGAUCUUGCAGGGAAGCGUGGUGGAUUGUAAGCAACCAAAGGGAACGACUUGAGAGACGAUCCAUAGGGGUUCAAAUAUAGAGGGAAAGGGCCCAUGAAUAAGAGUGCACCCCCUUUUCCAAACGGUUAAGGGUCUUGGGAUAUUUGGGGUUAAGUGUCCUUGGGUUUGAAUAGUACUGGGCUGGGUGACCUCCCGGGAAGUCCAAACUCAGGAGCUUACACCCAGCAGCGAGAGUGGUUGUGGCCA